CAGGGUCUCCUCUGACACACUGACCCACCUGUACACAUUCAACACCACAUUCACUGAGCCCCUCUAUCCAGAGUUUGGGGUUCAUGAGGACUCCUUAGUGUCUUUGUGUCAGAUGGUCCCUUUGUCAAACACAACAUGAUGUUUCACUCUAAUCAUGGUCAUGUUCAAUAGGACACCGUAGUAAAACACUGAGAAAAAAUGAGUGAAACCCGAUAAGAACACCUCCUCACAUACCCCAUUGGUCAGCGACGUAUCAGCUGAUGUCGGGGAUCUGUCCAAUCACAAUCUCAGAUUUCAUACUUACUAUUUAUUCAUCAGGUUACUCCCUCAGUCAGAAUUACAGUGUCCCAGAUUUGACAGAAUAAAAGUGGUUUAAAACAGCAAUGAUAAAAUAACUUUGUGUGUGUGUGGAUAGGGUACUGUAAGUAGUUUUCUAAACACAGACCACUCGCAGUUGAAAUCUUGCAUUGCUUCAGUGUCCCAGCACUGGAUACACCCUUGCCUAUCUGAAAGAUCCAUCGACGAUGAUUGGACAGGCUACAAUCUAGACAUGUCCACUUCACCAGGACCACCCUCAGAUUGUGUGCAUACAUUUACAGAGACCUGGUUUAAUACAUAAUCACAACAAGGAUUACUGGUGACUUAUAAUCAUUAAUUAAAAGCCAUUUGUUGUUGUUAGGAGAGCUCACGUCCUGCCUCUGGUCCAGUCAUCCCCUGCAUCACUUGUCAGAAGGAAGUUCCCUUUUCAGAGAUGAAGCUGCACAGAUUGAGCUGCAAUGGAAUGGAAGCUUAUUAAAGAACCCACUCAAGCUGCCAAAGUUUCAAAAGAGAAUCUGCUAAGGGAAUAUGCAACUAGGAAACCACUUAGAAUGAAGAUGGAUGUAAGGGACUCUGAAGAGGAGAGGGAACGGCAACUUCUCUUAUUCUAUAAACAGCAGCAAGAAUGGGCAUGUCCACUUCAUUGUACUCUGGUUGUCACCAAAACAAAUAGGACAUGGCUACAUAACAAACUUCUACUUCAUGCAGUCAUUGGGAGGAUCAUGCGCCAAAUUAAACAGUUGAGAAAGGGACUGAAAGAUGUGAUGGUGUGGCCCCUGCUGACAUCUAGGCCCGAUGUUGUCCCACUUCUCCCCAGAAUGGCUGAAAUGCAGUUCACACCCCAGAUGCUCCUAGAAAAAAAUCACAUGGCCAGUUGAGGACAGUGAUGAUGAAGACUUUGACUUAGACUCCACCUGCCACAUCACUGGCUUUCUAAGGAUGUUCAUUGAAACAGCUUCAUCAGGUACCCUGGCCAAGCUGCUGACAUUCUGGGUUGGCUGGGAGAUGCUUCCUCCUGAACUGAGAGUGGAGAUUUCUGGGGGAACCCUUCCUACAUUCUCCACAUGCUUUGAAACACUGAAGCUGCCAGCUCAUUUAAAAAUCUAUAUGGACUUUGAGAAAGCACUUGUCGCAGCCAUAAAAUGUAUUGGAUUUGGGCUUGUUUAAGCUUUUUCAGACAGAUGUCAAUGCAUAUACUGUUAAGAGGAAUUGACACAAGUUCAGUGUCUUUGAAAACAUUAACACACUGUGCAGUAGUUGACAAUUUUUUUAUUCUACAUAUUUUUUCCAUUUACUGAAAUCCAACAGUUCUGCACCUUCAGUGCUAACAGUACAGCAUUCAUGUUAGUCAUUCUGUGGACCAUAAUGAGACAGGAAGCUUCAGAAGCUUUUUUCUUCUUUUUUUUUUAAGGAAAGUAAACUUUUUCAGUUUGUCCUUGCUUGUUCUAACACAACAAAUAAAAAACAUGGGUUGGA